CUGACAUUUUCCUAGCUAGUUUGUACACUGUGGUGUAAUGGGAAGCUAGCUUUUUCAGUAAUCCUUUAUAAAAUUUGGAUCUAGGAGGACUCGCUAGACUCGGCUACCUACGUGUCAACUGUCAACAAAACUGCAAGAUGCAUUUUCCGAUGCCCUUGUUGCAAACCAGUAUACGGAGGGGUGAGUUGAGCGGAUGGAGCGGCGCUGGCAAGGGGCAGGGCGGUGGCUACUGUCAACAGCGUACUGUCAACAACGUACUGUGCAUAGGCAUAGGUGUAUGGGAGCACGUAAAAACUUUUCAGAUGAAAUGACAAGGGGGCAGCCAGUGCAUUUGUUUAUUCGUCCAAAAACCUACCACUUUUCAAAAUUUUCUUUCAUAUCGAAUAUUGUUCACAUGCAUAAGCAUUAAAUAGCAUUAAAUAACAUGCAUAAACAUUUUAUUUUAUUCUAGGUACAGUUUUUUUAUUGUAGUUCAUUUUUUUCUUAAUUUUUUUUUGUCUCAUUCUCUGAUUGCCACUUUCUCUUAGCGUUCAGUUAGCAUUUCCUAAUUUACCAAGAAAAGGAUUAAGUUGCUCGCAAAAAAAGAUUAAGAAAUAUACAAAAAGCAAAAAAAAAGUGAAGCAAAACAUAUCUGGGUUAUAAGAAAUUUUUAAUCUAAAGUAAAAUAAAAGGAUACUAGAAAAAAAUAUAACAAGGCAA
rnacentral:lncRNA from 1 species